rnacentral:tRNA from 1 species
GCCUCGAUAGCGCAGUAGGCAGCGCGUCAGUCUCAUAAUCAUGUAAUGUCGGGAAAUCUGAAGGUCGUGAGUUCGAUCCUCACUCGGGGCA